rnacentral:rRNA from 1 species
AUCUUCCACAAUGGGCGAAAGCCUGAUGGAGCAACGCCGCGUGAGUGAAAAAGGUUCUCGGAUCGUAAAACUCUGUUGUAAGGAAAGAACAAGUACAGCAGUAACUGGCUGUACCUUGACGGUAACUUAUUAGAAAGCCACGGCUAAGUACGUGCCAGCAGCCGUGGUAAUACGUAGGUGGCAAGCGUUGUCCGGAAUUAUUGGGCGUAAAGCGCGCGCAGGCGGUCCUUUAAGUCUGAUGUGAAAGCCCACGGCUCAACCGUGGAGGGUCAUUGGAAACUGGAGGAAUUGAGUGCAGAAGAGGAAAGUGGAAUUCCAAGUGUAGCGGUGAAAUGCGUAGAGAUUUGGAGGAACACCAGUGGCGAAGGCGACUUUCUGGUCUGUAACUGACGCUGAGGCAAGAAAGCGUGGGGAGCAAACAGG